AGUUCAUCAGGGUAUUAAAUUAUGUUGAAACAUUAGUUGUGGUAAUGACAGUCAUGAAUGUAUGAGAGUUCAUCAGGGUAUUAAAUUAUGUUGAAACAUUAGUUGUGAUAAUGACAGUCAUGAAUGUAUGAGAGUUCAUCAGGGUAUUAAAUUAUGUUGAAACAUUAGUUGUGGUAAUGACAGUCAUGAAUGUAUGAGAGUUCAUCAGGG
rnacentral:lncRNA from 1 species